GGCCUGAUGGUCUAGUGGUAAGAUACUUGCUUUGGGACUACCAAGUCACGUGUGCAAGGGAUCCCGGGUUCAAUCCCCGGUUGGGCCC